UCCUCGGAAUUUUAAGUCUGCUGACGCUAUGCUUCCAAGAAAAGCUUCUAAAGAUAUUAUAUAGGUGCCCGUACCAAGAACCGACACAGGUGGUCAAGGAGAGAAUCCUAAGGUGAGCGAGAUAACUAUGGUUAAGGAACUCGGCAAAAUAACCCCGUAACUUCGGGAGAAGGGGAGGUUUCUUCGGAAACCCGCAGGAAAUAGGUCCAGGCAACUGUUUAGCAAAAACACAGGUCUCUGCUAAAGCGUAGGCUGAUGUAUAGGGGCUGACGCCUGCCCAGUGCUGGAAGGUUAAGAGGAGAUGUUAGCUGGACGUAAGUCAAUAACAGCAAAGCUUCGAAUUGAAGCCCCAGUGAACGGCGGCCGUAACUAUAACGGUCCUAAGGUAGCGAAAUUCCUUGUCAGGUAAGUUCUGACCCGCACGAAAGGCGUAAUGAUCUGGAUACUGUCUCAACCAUAGACUCGGUGAAAUCUUAAUACCUGUGAAAAUGCAGGUUACCCGCAACAGGACGGAAAGACCCCAUGGAGCUUUACUACAGUUUGAUAUUGAAAUCAGGUAUGUCAUGUAGAGGAUAGGUGGGAGACUUUGAUGCUAAGGCGCCAGCCUUAGAGUAGUCAACCUUGGAAUACCACCCUUGAUAUAUUUGAUUUCUAACCUGCUACCGUUAUCCGGUAGGGGGACAGUGUCUGAUGGGUAGUUUGACUGGGGCGGUCGCCUCCCAAAAUGUAACGGAGGCGCCCAAAGGUUCCCUCAGAAUGGUUGGAAAUCAUUCGAAGAGUGUAAUGGCAGAAGGGAGCUUAACUGCGAGACCUACAAGUCAAGCAGAUGCGAAAGCAGGGCAUAGUGAUCUUGCGAUUCAGUAUGGAAUGGUCGUUGCUUAACGGAUAAAAGUUACCCUGGGGAUAACAGGCUGAUCCCACCCAAUAGUUCAUAUAGACGGUGGGGAUUGGCACCUCGAUGUCGGCUCGUCGUAUCCUGGAGGUGUAGUCGCUUCCAAGGGUUGGGCUGUUCGCCCAUUAAAACGGCACGCGAGCUGGGUUCAGAACGUCGUGAGACAGUUCGGUCCCUAUCCGUUGUGGGCGCUGGAAAAUUGAGGAGAGCUAUCCUUAGUACGAGAGGACCGGGAUGGACGUACCGAUGGUGUAUCAGUUGUCACGCCAGUGGCAGCGCUGAGUAGCUAUGUACGGAUGGGAUAACCGCUGAAAGCAUCUAAGCGGGAAGCCCUCUCCAAGAUGAGUUUUCCCUUUCUUUAAGAAAUAAGAUCCCAUGAAGACUACAUGGUUGAUAGGCUAGAGGUGGAAGAAUAGUGAUAUUUUGAGCUGACUAGUACUAAUAGAUCGACAAAUUAACUAA
rnacentral:rRNA from 1 species